UGGGGAAUAUUGCACAAUGGGGGAAACCCUGAUGCAGCCAUGCCGCGUGUGUGAAGAAGGCCUUCGGGUUGUAAAGCACUUUCAGUAGUAAGGAAAGGUAAGUGAUUAAUACUCGCUUACUGUGACGUUAGCUACAGAAGAAGCACCGGCUAACUCCGUGCCAGCAGCCGCGGUAAUACGGAGGGUGCAAGCGUUAAUCGGAAUAACUGGGCGUAAAGCGCACGCAGGCGGUUUGUUAAGCCAGAUGUGAAAGCCCGGGGCUCAACCUCGGAACUGCAUUUGGAACUGGCAGACUAGAGUCUUGUAGAGGGGGGUAGAAUUUCCAGUGUAGCGGUGAAAUGCGUAGAGAUUGGAAGGAAUACCAGUGGCGAAGGCGGCCCCCUGGACAAAGACUGACGCU
rnacentral:rRNA from 1 species